rnacentral:tRNA from 1 species
GCCCCUGUGGUGAAAUUGACAGACUCAAAGGACUUAAAAUCCUUGCCGCUUGCGAAGUGCCAGUUCGAGUCUGGCCGAGGGCA